AGCAGUCGCCACGGUAAUACGAAGGGUGCAAGCGUUAAUCGGAAUUACUGGACGUAAAGCGUGCGUAGGCGGUUUGUUAAGUCUGCUGUGAAAUCCCCGGGCUCAACCUGGGAAUGGCAGUGGAUACUGGCAAGCUAGAGUGUGUCAGAGGAUGGUGGAAUUCCCGGUGUAGCGGUGAAAUGCGUAGAGAUCGGGAGGAACAUCAGUGGCGAAGGCGGCCAUCUGGGACAACACUGACGCUGAGGCACGAAAGCGUGGGGAGCAAACAGGAUUAGAUACCCGGGUAGUCCCUGUCUCUUAUAC
rnacentral:rRNA from 1 species